UAGCUCAGUGGUAGAGCGCUUGCCUAGCAAGCACAAGGCCCUGGGUUUGAUCCCCAG
rnacentral:tRNA from 1 species